GCCUGGCUGGCUCAGUUAGUAGAGCAUGUGACUCUUGCUCUCAAGGUGGUGAGUUCAAGGCCCACACUGGGUU
rnacentral:tRNA from 1 species